rnacentral:misc_RNA from 1 species
CGCACAUGGCGCCCCCCGGCAUCCCGGGGGGCAUGCCUGUCCGAGCGUCGUUUCAACCCUCGAGCCCCCGUGGCCCGGCGUUGGGGAUCUACGGCUCCGGCCGCAGGCCCCGAAAACCAGUGGCGGACCCGCGUCGGCCCUCCCUUGCGUAGUAGCAUUAGCCUCGCAUCGGAAGCCCGCGGCAGCUCCGGCCUCUAAACCCCCACUAAAGUCCGUCUCCGGCGGCACCAAGGUUGACCUCGGAUCAGGUAGGAAUACCCGCUGAACUUAA